UACGUAGGGUGCAAGCGUUGUCCGGAAUUAUUGGGCGUAAAGAGCUUGUAGGCGGUUUGUCGCGUCUGCUGUGAAAUUUCGGGGCUCAACCCCGAACUUGCAGUGGGUACGGGCAGACUAGAGUGUGGUAGGGGAGACUGGAAUUCCUGGUGUAGCGGUGAAAUGCGCAGAUAUCAGGAGGAACACCGAUGGCGAAGGCAGGUCUCUGGGCCAUAACUGACGCUGAGAAGCGAAAAGCAUGGGGAGCAAACAGG
rnacentral:rRNA from 1 species